rnacentral:rRNA from 1 species
GAUCAUGGCUCAGAUUGAACGCUGGCGGCAGGCUUAACACAUGCAAGUCUAGCGGGGAAAGGUAGCUUGCUACCUAACCUAGCGGCGGACGGGUGAGUAAUGCUUAGGAAUCUGCCUAUUAGUGGGGGACAACAUCUCGAAAGGGAUGCUAAUACCGCAUACGUCCUACGGGAGAAAGCAGGGGAUCUUCGGACCUUGCGCUAAUAGAUGAGCCUAAGUCGGAUUAGCUAGUUGGUGGGGUAAAGG